rnacentral:rRNA from 1 species
GCUUGUCUCAAAGAUUAAGCCAUGCAUGUCUCAGUAUAAGUUCCUGUACGGCGAAACUGCGAAUGGCUCAUUAAAACAGUUACAGUUUAUUUGAUGGUCGUUCCUUACAUGGAUAACUGUGGUAAUUCUAGAGCUAAUACAUGCACCCGUGCCCGACUUUGUGGAAGGGUUGUGUUUAUUAGAUAAAAACCAAUGCCUCGUGCUUUUGGUGAGUCAUGAUAACUGCGCGGAUCGCAUGGCCUUGCGCCGGCGACGCUUCAUUCAAAUUUCUGCCCUAUCAACUUUCGAUGGUAAGAUAGAGGCUUACCAUGGUGUUAACGGGUAACGGGGAAUUGGGGUUCGAUUCCGGAGAGGGAGCCUGAGAAAUGGCUACCACUUCCAAGGAAGGCAGCAGG